rnacentral:lncRNA from 1 species
GAUUUUACAUGUCCACCUGUCACAAUGGAUUCAUCGAAAUGCUGGAACCAGCCGACGAGGAGCCUGAUGAGGAAAGUGACUCAGAGCCCGGUUUAACCGCUGCUGUAUACAUCCAGGAUGCAUUGCAAGAUUUCUUAGAAUUUCAAGAGGAACUUGCAGCACGUCGUAUGAGGCGCAUGUUCCGUCGCAAUCGAGGAAACUCUUCCUCACUAAGGUUACCGCAUUCAACUUGGAGAGACUCAAAUAUGUCUGGCUCAAACAUGGCUCCAUUGUCUCGAGGGAGAACGUCAUCCUCAACCAGUGGAGGCUCUGGUGGACUUCGUCCUAGAAGGAGUCGUAGACAAGCUUUUAAACGAACCAAGAAACAGAGCCCAUCGAAGCUCUAG